CUUGACACCAUUCAUCUGUGUGUUUUUGACUUGCAUCUUGACUCAGUGCCUGCCCUCCUGAACCCUACCCUUCCUGCCAAAAAGUUUGGUUAGACCUUCUCCACUCCACCCUGUACACACCCAUACUGUACUGGAAGUGAAUCUACUCUCCUACUGCAUUAUGUUUCACACCAAAUUUGAUUUCAUGAUGCAUAUCACUUUUUAUACACACCUUAAUGAGCUGCCCAUCUCCUGUCCCAAUGAAGAAAACCACCCAGGCCUUCUGUCUCACUGCCAGCACAGAGGUCAUGUAGUUCUGUCUGAAGAGCACCGCCUUUGGCUUCAGAGGCUUUGACUGAGAGAGACAAAAACGCUGAUCAUCAGAUUUGGAUCCAAAAGGCUAUUACAACAACCCACCGUGGAUCUUGACUUCUCAGGGCAGGUGAUGCAGAAGUCUGGAUCCGCAUCGGCCGCUCCGGUGAGAUCAGGGCUGACGUCAAACACUACCAGCUCGGUGUCGGUUUGUCCUCCGUCCACACUGAACACGCCGCUCCAGAGCACCGGCGGCCCACCCGGGAUCACCGAGGAGGCCACGAGUCUGCUGCCUUUACCACCAUCAGAGAUACUGAGAGUCGCGCCCCGCAGCGACUUAAAAGUAUGGGUUUUGCCUGUUUUUCCCUCAAGCCAAAUAAGACGGACUCUUUUGCUUUUGUCCUUUGAUGGCACGUUGGAGAAAAGAUAAAUGGUUAAGUUGAUCUGAAAUCCAUCAACAAACUCCACCUCGCCUUCACGUUUGAUCUGAGCUUGAGAAGUCUCGCCACCAUGGGAAAAUAUAUCUCCAUUCUGGUUUUUAUUCGUAUUAUGAAGGUUCAGAACGGCUGAUCCAGAGAGGCAGCUGGUCUCUGUGGUUUUGUCGGGUUGCUGUAAGGCAGUCAGAAUAUAAGUUUCGAGCUGGGUCUGAGUCUUCUCCACGUCCACCAGGAAGCCAACGGACGCAUUGCUGCGCCCUGCGGGUCCCACCUGGAUGGCCUCGCUAUGCAACACGUGGGAAAUGUUUUGCAGGUCCAGCACCUCGCAGUAGCCGCACCUGAUCACACCGCAGCUGAUCAGAGUUUUAUUCUUAACGAACGGCAACACCACAUUGACACUGAAAGUUGCGUUCCAUUCAUCCGUCUCAGAAAUCCGGUAUAACUGCUCAUCACCGGACUCAGGCCCCACCUUCAAGAUUCCUCUCAGGGUCAGGCUCUGGACCAGAGUCAGGUCGUGGCUCAGCUGGUACAGCCUCUCAUCUGUAGCGAUGUAAACCGUGUUGGUGGCCACGGCGAAGUGGCGGAAAUCUCCAUGAAAUGUAAAGCUUCCUCCCUCUUCCAGGCACCGACCCGGUUCUCCCCAGAGAAUGAGCAACAGACCAGACAGCAGGAUCAUCUUCUUGCAGCGGUGGCAGCAAAACGUUCACACAAUGACGAUCAUGGCACUCUGCUCUCUGCCAGUGUCACUGGAGUCGUGCGUAAAAGCGCAGUGCGCCUCUGGUGAAAGGAGAAGUGCUGAAAGUGGGAGGGAGCGGGCCCAGCGAAACCGAAAACUAACACUUUAUUUAUUUCUGAGAUAUUAUGAGGUAAUAUUCUCUUUUGCAGCAUUAAUGUUUUCACUCAACUGUAAGUGUCCUACAAGUUUUCAAAAUAAUUUCAUACAAUUUUAGUCUAACCCCCCGGGCGUUUGAUAAAUCCACUUUCAACAAUUCACAUGAUGAUAUCCACAUCAAGAAGAACCAAUACGGCGGCAGGGACUUCUGAGUGAAGCUAUAUGGCCCAUGCGAUAUGAGAAUUGUCCUUAACCAUCAAUUAAAGGGAUCUGACAGUGAUUUGCAUGGCAUAUUUGAUGCCUAUCCGACAUCCCCCGUUUUAGGUGAAAGAAACAAUAGGCUACAGUGUGAUUUAGUGCCAUAUGCAGAGAGCUCUGAGAAAAUGCUGUAAAUGAUGCCUCCUCACUUUCCUCAACAAAUGUG